rnacentral:lncRNA from 1 species
AUGAAAACCAGUUUCCAUUGCAGAUUUGUGGAAAGACAAAGAAAUUGGAGGCAAUGGGUGCUUCAGAAAACAAGGCUGUGGAUGAGACUGAAAAGAAGAGGAUUUGAAAGCCUUUUAAAGGUUUCACUCUACCCCCCAGGCUGGAGUACAGUGAGGCCAUCAUGGCUUACUACAGCUCUGACCUCCUGGCUCAGGCACUUGUCUCACCUCAGCCCCAUGUAGCUAGGACUACAGACACGUGCCACCAUGACCAG